rnacentral:ncRNA from 1 species
GUUAGAUCAUGGCGUUCAGGUGCUGCCAUUCUAGGGAUGGCGAUAAUUGGGAAAUCGGUGGGAAACCGAUGCUGCCCCCGCAACGGUAAUGGAGUUGGAACGCGGCGAUAAGACCACUGGGCGUUAAGCCUGGGAAGGUGCCGCAAUCAUCCGCAAGGAUCGCUCCGAAGCCCGGAAACCAGCCUGAAGGACAAAUUCGAC